rnacentral:rRNA from 1 species
GAUGAACGCUGGCAGCGUGCUUAACACAUGCAAGUCUAUCGCAAAGCCUCCCGUCCACAGCCUUCCCCAAGUGGCCGAGUGUUUAAUGCCUCAUGAACUUUCCCCCCUGUCCGUCGUGAUAAACGUGGAAGACUGAUUCUACUACCUGAUAUCACACGCUCUUAUGUGCAGUCUGAUAAAAAGAGAGGCUGAUGGGGAGACCUGCGUCCCAUUCGCCUGUUGGUGGGGUAACGGGCCACCAAGGCGAUCAACGGUAACCGGCCUGAGAGGGUGGACGGCCACAAGGGGACAGAGAUACGGCACUUACUCCUACGGGAGGCAGCAGUGGGGAAUAUUGGAAAAUGGGGGCAACCCUGAUACAGCAAUUCUGUGUGCACGAUGAAGGUUUUCGGAUUGUAAAGUGCUUGCAGCAGGGAAGAAAAAAAUGACGGUACCUGCAGAAGAAGCGACGGCUAAAUACGUG